AUUGAACGCUGGCGGCAUGCUUUACACUUGCAAGUCGAACGGCAGCGCGGGCUUCGGCCUGGCGGCGAGUGGCGAACGGGUGAGUAAUACAUCGGAACGUGCCCAGUAGUGGGGGAUAGCUCGGCGAAAGCCGGAUUAAUACCGCAUACGACCUGAGGGUGAAAGCGGGGGAUCUUCGGACCUCGCGCUAUUGGAGCGGCCGAUGGCAGAUUAGCUAGUUGGUGGGGUAAAGGCCUACCAAGGCGACGAUCUGUAGCUGGUCUGAGAGGACGACCAGCCACACUGGGACUGAGACACGGCCCAGACUCCUACGGGAGGCAGCAGUGGGGAAUUUUGGACAAUGGGCGAAAGCCUGAUCCAGCAAUGCCGCGUGUGUGAUGAAGGCCUUCGGGUUGUAAAGCACUUUUGGCGGGAACGAAAAGGACUGUGCCAAUACCACGGUUCGAUGACGGUACCCGCAGAAUAAGCACCGGCUAACUACGUG
rnacentral:rRNA from 1 species